GUGAAUCAUCGAAUCUUUGAACGCAAAUUGCGCCUUUUUCGGAAGGCAUGUCUGUUUGAGGGCACCAUUUAACAAAUAAUGUGCAUUUCGUGUGCACACGUUGAUGAGCUUUCCAAAAUUAUGUAUUAUUAUUUUUGUGGCGCCUAAUAAACCGCGCGAUUCUUUUUUUUAGUUUCAGUGGAAGUAA
rnacentral:misc_RNA from 1 species